rnacentral:rRNA from 1 species
CAGUAGCCACGGUAAUACGUAGGGUGCAAGCGUUAAUCGGAAUUACUGGGCGUAAAGCGUGCGCAGGCGGUUUGUUAAGACAGAUGUGAAAUCCCCGGGCUCAACCUGGGAACUGCAUUUGUGACUGGCAGGCUAGAGUAUGGCAGAGGGGGGUGGAAUUCCGCGUGUAGCAGUGAAAUGCGUAGAUAUGCGGAGGAACACCGAUGGCGAAGGCAGCCCCCUGGGCCAAUACUGACGCUCAUGCACGUAAGCGUGGGGAGCAAACAGGAUUAGAUACCCCAGUAGUCCCUGUCUCUUAUAA